GAUGAACGCUGGCGGCGUGCUUAACACAUGCAAGUCGAACGGACAGACGCUGCUUUUGUGGGUUGCUCGAGUGCCGCACGGGUGAGUGACACGUGAGUAACCUGCCCUUGUCAUUGGGGUAUAUUCACGAAACUGGGGCUCAUACAGGAUAUGAGCUCCUGAUCCAUAUUGUUGGUUGGAAAGAUUCGGCGGUUGUGGAUGGACUCGCGGCUUAUCAGCUUCUUUGUGGGGUAGUGGCGUACAAAGGCUUUGAAGGGUAGCCGGCCUGGGAGGGUGACCGGGCACAUGGGGACUGAGAGACGGCCCAGAAGCCUACGGGAGGCAGCAGGGGGGAAUAUUGCAGAAUGGGCGGAAGUCUGAUGCAGCAACGCCGCGUGCGGGAUGCCGUCCUUCGGGUUGUAAACCGCUUUCGCCUGAGACGAAGCGGGAUUGACGGUAAUGGGUAAAGAAGCACCGGCUAACUACGUG
rnacentral:rRNA from 1 species